rnacentral:ncRNA from 2 species
UAUUAUCAAAAGUAGAGGGACGAAGAGCCGUUCGUGCUAGCACGAAAAAGGCUUUAUGUAUUUUCGACCCGCCAAACAUGAGAAAGGAGCGAUUUACAAAGUAAAUCAGCGGAAUUCGAAUGUUUGGAGAAUUGAGGGAGCAGCAAAGCUGCGGAGCAAUUCGUAGGUAUUA